CCUACGGGAGGCAGCAUUGAGGAAUAUUGGUCAAUGGACGAGAGUCUGAACCAGCCAAGUAGCGUGAAGGAUGACUGCCCUAUGGGUUGUAAACUUCUUUUAUAUGGGAAUAAAAUGUUCCACGUGUGGGAUUUUGUAUGUACCAUAUGAAUAAGGAUCGGCUAACUCCGUGCCAGCAGCCGCGGUAAUACGGAGGAUCCGAGCGUUAUCCGGAUUUAUUGGGUUUAAAGGGAGCGUAGGUGGAUUGUUAAGUCAGGUGUGAAAGUUUGCGGCUCAACCGUAAAAUUGCAGUUGAAACUGGCAGUCUUGAGUACGGUAGAGGUAGGCGGAAUUCGUGGUGUAGCGGUGAAAUGCUUAGAUAUCACGAAGAACUCCGAUUGCGAAGGCAGCUCGCUGGACUGCAACUGACACUGAGGCUCGAAAGUGUGGGUAUCAAACAGGAUUAGAUACCCUGGUAGUC
rnacentral:rRNA from 1 species